rnacentral:rRNA from 1 species
UACGGAGGGUGCAAGCGUUAAUCGGAAUUACUGGGCGUAAAGCGCGCGUAGGCGGUUUUUUAAGUCGGAUGUGAAAGCCCCGGGCUCAACCUGGGAACUGCAUCCGAUACUGGAAGACUAGAAUGCGGGAGAGGGGGGUAGAAUUCCAUGUGUAGCAGUGAAAUGCGUAGAUAUAUGGAGGAAUACCAGUGGCGAAGGCGGCCUCCUGGCUCGACAUUGACGCUGAGGUGCGAAAGCGUGGGGAGCAAACGGG